rnacentral:rRNA from 1 species
AGAGUUUGAUCCUGGCUCAGGAUGAACGCUAGCGGCAGGCUUAACACAUGCAAGUCGAGGGGCAGCGGGGAGGAAGCUUGCUUUCUCCGCCGGCGACCGGGCGCACGGGUGAGUAACACGUAUGCAACCUGCCCCUGUCAGGGGGACAACCCGCCGAAAGGCGGGCUAAACCCGCGUACAUGCCACCGGGGCAUCCCGGAGGCAGGAAAGGCUUCGGCCGGACAGGGAUGGGCAUGCGGCGCAUUAGGCAGUAGGCGGGGUAACGGCCCACCUAACCGACGAUGCGUAGGGGUUCUGAGAGGAAGGUCCCCCACACUGGUACUGAGACACGGACCAGACUCCUACGGGAGGCAGCAGUGAGGAAUAUUGGUCAAUGGUCGGGAGACUGAACCAGCCAAGCCGCGUGAGGGAGGAAGGUACAGAGUAUCGUAAACCUCUUUUGUCAGGGAACAAAGGCGGGGACGUGUCCCCGGAUGAGUGUACCUGAAGAAAAAGCAUCGGCUAACUCCGUGCCAGCAGCCGCGGUAAUACGGAGGAUGCGAGCGUUAUCCGGAUUUAUUGGGUUUAAAGGGUGCGCAGGCGGUCUGUUAAGUCAGCGGUCAAAGCCCGGGGCUCAACCCCGGCCCGCCGUUGAAACUGGCAGUCUCGAGUUGGAGAGAAGUAUGCGGAAUGCGCGGUGUAGCGGUGAAAUGCAUAGAUAUCGCGCAGAACUCCGAUUGCGAAGGCAGCAUGCCGGCUCCACACUGACGCUGAGGCACGAAAGCGUGGGUAUCGAACAGGAUUAGAUACCCUGGUAGUCCACGCAGUAAACGAUGAAUGCUGGCUGUCCGGGGGGAUUGACCCCUGGGGGGCGAAGCGAAAGCGAUAAGCAUUCCACCUGGGGAGUACGCCGGCAACGGUGAAACUCAAAGGAAUUGACGGGGGCCCGCACAAGCGGAGGAACAUGUGGUUUAAUUCGAUGAUACGCGAGGAACCUUACCCGGGCUCAAACGGGGAGUGACUCAGGCAGAGACGCCUGUUUCCCACGGGACACUCCCCGAGGUGCUGCAUGGUUGUCGUCAGCUCGUGCCGUGAGGUGUCGGCUUAAGUGCCUUAACGAGCGCAACCCCCGCGUGCAGUUGCUAACAGAUAACGCUGAGGACUCUGCACGGACUGCCGGCGCAAGCCGCGAGGAAGGCGGGGAUGACGUCAAAUCAGCACGGCCCUUACGUCCGGGGCGACACACGUGUUACAAUGGGUGGUACAGCGGGAAGCCAGGCGGCGACGCCGAGCGGAACCCGAAAUCCACUCUCAGUUCGGAUCGGAGUCUGCAACCCGACUCCGUGAAGCUGGAUUCGCUAGUAAUCGCGCAUCAGCCAUGGCGCGGUGAAUACGUUCCCGGGCCUUGCACACACCGCCCGUCA